rnacentral:rRNA from 1 species
UGAACCGGGAUGAGCUCAAAUUUAAAAUCUGGCGUCUUUCAGGCGUCCGAGUUGUAAUCUAUAGAGGCGUUUUCCGCGCCGGACCGCGUCCAAGUCUCUUGGAAUAGAGUAUCAAAGAGGGUGACAAUCCCGUACUUGACGCGACAACCGGUGCUCUGUGAUACGUUCUCAAUGAGUCGAGUUGUUUGGGAAUGCAGCUCUAAAUGGGUGGUAAAUUCCAUCUAAGGCUAAAUAUUGGCGAGAGACCGAUAGCGAACAAGUACCGUGAGGGAAAGAUGAAAAGCACUUUGGAAAGAGAGUUAAACAGCACGUGAAAUUGUUAAAAGGGAAACGAUUGAAGUCAGUCGUGUGAAAGGUAUUCAGCCGUCUCUGGCGGUGUAUUUGCCUUUCACGGGUCAACAUCAGUUUGAUCCGGUAGAAAAAGGCAGGAGGAAGGUGGCACCCUCGGGUGUGUUAUAGCCUCUUGUCAUAUGUGCCGGACCAGACUGAGGAACGCAGCUUGCCGCAAGGCCGGGGUUCGCCCACGUACAAGCUUAGGAU